GAUGAACGCUGGCGGCGUGCCUAAUACAUGCAAGUCGAGCGAACAGACGAGGAGCUUGCUCCUCUGACGUUAGCGGCGGACGGGUGAGUAACACGUGGAUAACCUACCUAUAAGACUGGGAUAACUUCGGGAAACCGGAGCUAAUACCGGAUAAUAUAUUGAACCGCAUGGUUCAAUAGUGAAAGACGGUUUUGCUGUCACUUAUAGAUGGAUCCGCGCCGCAUUAGCUAGUUGGUAAGGUAACGGCUUACCAAGGCAACGAUGCGUAGCCGACCUGAGAGGGUGGUCGGCCACACUAGAACUGGGACACGGUCCAGACUACUGCGGGAGGCAGCAGUAGGGAAUGUUCCGCAAUGGGCGAAAGCUUGACGGAGCAACGCCGCGUGAGUGAUGAAGGUCUUCGGAUCGUAAAACUCUGUUAUUAGGGAAGAACAAAUGUGUAAGUAACUAUGCACGUCUUGACGGUACCUAAUCAGAAAGCAACGGCUAACUACGUG
rnacentral:rRNA from 1 species